UGGGGAAUAUUGCACAAUGGGGGAAACCCUGAUGCAGCGACGCCGCGUGAACGAAGAAGGUAUUCGUAUCGUAAAGUUCUGUCCUAUGGGAAGAUAAUGACAGUACCAUAGAAGAAAGCUCCGGCUAAAUACGUGCCAGCAGCCGCGGUAAUACGUAUGGAGCGAGCGUUGUCCGGAAUUAUUGGGCGUAAAGGGUACGCAGGCGGUUUAAUAAGUCGAAUGUUAAAGAUCGGGGCUCAACCCCGUAAAGCAUUGGAAACUGAUAAACUUGAGUAGUGGAGAGGAAAGUGGAAUUCCUAGUGUAGUGGUGAAAUACGUAGAUAUUAGGAGGAAUACCAGGAGCGAAGGCGACUUUCUGGACACAAACUGACGCUGGGGUACGAAAGCGUGGGGAGCAAACAGG
rnacentral:rRNA from 1 species